GAUGAACGCUGGCGGCGUGCCUAAUACAUGCAAGUCGAGCGAACAGACGAGGAGCUUGCUCCUCUGACGUUAGCGGCGGACGGGUGAGUAACACGUGGAUAACCUACCUAUAAGACUGGGAUAACUUCGGGAAACCGGAGCUAAUACCGGAUAAUAUAUUGAACCGCAUGGUUCAAUAGUGAAAGACGGUUUUGCUGUCACUUAUAGAUGGAUCCGCGCCGCAUUCGCUAGUUGGUACGGUAACGGCUUACCAACGCAACGAUGCGAAGCCGACCUGAGAGGGUAAGCAGCCAAACUGGAACGGAGACACGGUCCAGACUACGACGGGAGGCAGCAGUAUGGAAUCUGACGCAAUGGGCAAAAUCCUGACGGAGCAGCGCCGCGGGAGUGAUGAAGGUCAUCGGAUCGUAAAACUCUGUUAUUAGGGAAGAACAAAGGUAUAAGGAACUAUGCACGUCUUGACGGUACCUAAUCAGAAAGCCACGGCUAGCUACGUG
rnacentral:rRNA from 1 species